CGCUUCCUACGGGACGCAGCAGUGAGGAAUAUUGGUCAAUGGGCGGAAGCCUGAACCAGCCAAGUCGCGUGAGGGAAGAAGGCCCUGCGGGUCGCAGACCUCUUUGGACGGGGAGCAAGGCCGCCGACGUGUCGGCGGAAGGAGAGUACCCGUAGAACAAGCAUCGGCUAACUACGUGCCAGCAGCCGCGGUAAUACGUAGGUGGCAAGCGUUGUCCGGAUUUACUGGGUGUAAAGGGCGUGCAGCCGGGCUGACAAGUCAGAUGUGAAAUCCCGCGGCUCAACCGCGGAACUGCAUUUGAAACU
rnacentral:rRNA from 1 species